rnacentral:lncRNA from 1 species
GCAGCUCUGGCAUUUUUCCCACUUCUAUUUUUUUUUUUCACUUUGCAGUAAUAGUGGUAAAGAAAAGGAGAAAGAAGGCAAAACACUUGAAAGAAAAUUUCUGUCGGGAGGAAUGCAAUUAUAGUGGAAUGAGAAGACAUUCAGGAAAAAGAAAUGUGUAAAAUCCAGCGUCUCAGGAGAAAUAUUUGCAAAGUUUGUAUCUGAGAUACAAUCAUGAAGUGCCGUAUUGCUGCAAAAGAGGAAUGGCCGGGAACAGCUACAGGUGAUGCCUCGGUUUUUCGGCAGUUUCACAGCUCAGAACCUGCUCAAAAAAUGAAGUGCUGCUUGCUGCGAACACACGCUCAGCAUUUGUUCCCUGGGACCUACACCCGCACUAAGGAAGGCACAGGCAGCGUUCACAAAGGAUGUGGGCAGGUAAGGAACGGCAUUGCAGACCCAGGGUGCAGACCAAAGAUGUGCCAUUCUGCAGAAAAAUGUUAUGAAAAAGCUUUAUUAUGCAAUGUUAAUAGUUUUUGAAUGGAGGGUGGUUUCACAUCCCUCCUAGUCCACAGAGAGACCCCUGUAGCUCAUACAGAGACCCCUGAACUCUGCUCUGGAUAACACAGGUCUGCAGCCCAAAGUCUGGUGGUGAUUUGUGCCUACAAUCACUAAUUGUCCUUCAGAGGUGACUGAAGCCACCUCCCAGCCCACCGGGACCAAGGCAGCUCUGACAGCUUUCUGAAAGAUCGGUACAGAAGGUGGAGGAAUUGGGGAUAAUCAGUGACAAGUUU